rnacentral:misc_RNA from 1 species
GAAGAAGAAGAAGAAGAAAGAAAAGGCAAGAUGAUUGAUGAAAGAAGUAUAUAAAAGAAAAGAAGAGAGGAAAAGGGGAGAAUAGGGGUGUGGGCAUUAGAGGGGGAAAGUGUGGUUUCUUUAUAGCAAUGGCAUUGAAGGAACAGAGGGGUCUUAUUAAGAAUAAGGACGAGUCAUUUGGCGUGAAGGAGACUCAAACUCUUCUCUUUUUUCUCUUGAGCCUAUUUGUAAAAAGAAAUCUAAAUAAUAAUAAUUAUAAGUUGAGGAGUUUAGGACAGUUAAAAGAAAUUUGUGUCUGCUCGAAA